rnacentral:rRNA from 1 species
GACGAACGCUGGCGGCGUGCUUAACACAUGCAAGUCGAACGGAAAGGCCCUGCUUUUGUGGGGUGCUCGAGUGGCGAACGGGUGAGUAACACGUGAGUAACCUGCCCUUGUCUUUGGGAUAACUUCAGGAAACUGGGGCUAAUACCGGAUAGGAGCUCCUGCUGCAUGUGGGGGGUUGGAAAGUUUCGGCGGUUGGGGAUGGACUCGCGGGUUAUCAGCUUGUUGGUGGGGUAGUGGCUUUCCACGGCUUUGACGGGUAGCCGGCCUGAGAGGGUGACCGGCCACAUUGGGACUGCGAUACGGACCAGACGCCUACGGGAGGCAGCAGUGGGGAAUAUUGCACAAUGGGCGGAAGCCUGUUGCAGCAACGCCGCGUGCGGGAUGACGGCCUUCGGGUUGUAAACCGCUUUCGCCUGUGACGAAGCGUGAGUGACGGUAAUGGGUAAAGAAGCACCGGCUAACUACGUG